rnacentral:rRNA from 1 species
UAGUAGUCAUACGCUCGUCUCAAAGAAGAAGCCACCCAUGAGUAAGUGUAAAUAGUUAAGUUUGGAACUGCGAAGGGCUCAUCAUAUCAGUUAUAGUUUAUUUGGUGAAGUGUAAUACUUGGAUAACCGUAGUAAUUCUAGGGCUAAUACAUGAGAAAGUCCUCUGGUGAGGUGUGUUUAUUAGAAUGAAAACCAUAUGCUUCGGCAUGAUAGUGAGUAAUAGUAACCUAUCGUAUCGCAUGCUUAAUGUAGCGAUGAGUCUUUCAAGUUUCUGCCCUAUCAGCUUUCGAUGGUAUAUUGUGGUCCUACCAUGGUAGUAGCGGGUAACGAAUAA